rnacentral:rRNA from 1 species
AGUACGGCGAGUGAAGCGGCAAAAGCUCAAAUUUGAAAUCUGGUACCUUCGGUGCCCGAGUUGUAAUUUGUAGAAGGUAACUUUGGGGCUGGUCCUUGUCUAUGUUCCUUGGAACAGGACGUCAUAGAGGGUGAGAAUCCCGUGUGGCGAGGAUCCCAGUUCUUUGUAAAGUGCUUUCGAAGAGUCGAGUUGUUUGGGAAUGCAGCUCUAAGUGGGUGGUAAAUUCCAUCUAAAGCUAAAUAUUGGCGAG